GAUGAAGAACGUAGCGAAAUGCGAUAAGUAAUGUGAAUUGCAGAAUUCAGUGAAUCAUCGAAUCUUUGAACGCACCUUGCGCCCUUUGGCCAUUCCGAAGGGCAUGCCUGUUUGAGUAUCAUGAACACCUCAACUCUUUAUGGUUUUCCAUGAUGAGCUUGGACUCUGGGGGUUUUGCUGGCUCACAGUCGGCUCCUCUAAAAUGAAUCAGCUUCCAGUGUUUGGUGGGUAUCAUGGGUGUGAUAACUAUCUACGCUUGUGGUUUUUCCACCAGGUAACCUUCAGCAGUGGAGGUUCGCUGGAGCUCAUAGAUGUCUCUCCUCAGUGAGGACAGCCCUUUGAAUGUUUGAUCUCAAAUCAGGUAGGACUACCCGCUGAACUUAAGCAUAUCAAUAAGCGGAGGA
rnacentral:misc_RNA from 1 species